rnacentral:rRNA from 1 species
CAGUCGCCGCGGGAACACGAAGGGUGCAAGCGUUACUCGGAAUUACUGGGCGUAAAGCGUGCGUAGGUGGUGGUUUAAGUCCGUUGUGAAAGCCCUGGGCUCAACCUGGGAAUUGCAGUGGAUACUGGGUCACUAGAGUGUGGUAGAGGAUAGUGGAAUUUCCGGUGUAGCAGUGAAAUGCGUAGAGAUCGGAAGGAACAUCUGUGGCGAAGGCGACUAUCUGGGCCAACACUGACACUGAGGCACGAAAGCGUGGGGAGCAAACAGGAUUAGAUACCCGAGUAGUCCCUGUCUCUUAUAA